UACGGGAGGCAGCAGUGGGGAAUAUUGCACAAUGGGGGAAACCCUGAUGCAGCGACGCCGCGUGAGUGAAGAAGUAUUUCGGUAUGUAAAGCUCUAUCAGCAAGGAAGAAAAUGACGGUACUUGACUAAGAAGCCCCGGCUAACUACGUGCCAGCAGCCGCGGUAAU
rnacentral:rRNA from 1 species